GUGGCCGCCGGUUUUUAUCGCUGCUGCUUUUAAGGCAGAAGAGGAAAGUCAGGGCAGCGCAGAGCACCAUCCUUCCGAAAGGGAAGGACCUGAAAAGGUACAGAAAGUGCCACAGAAAAUUACCGCCUGUUCUUCGGAGCCGGUAAGGGUGAAAACGCGGGGUAAGAGCCCACGACGCAGAUUGGCAACAGUCUGCGGGGGUAAACCUGAUGGGCUGAAAGACCAUGUAUACCGGGGCGUCCGGAGUGAUCCGGAAUAAGAGCUGCUCGUUCAAUCCCGGGGGGUAGGUCGUUGGAACCUGUUAGUGAUGACAGGUCUAGAUAAAUGAUAAGAGUUCCGGCAUGCCGGAAUAACAGAAUCCUGCUUACAAGGCGACCACUAUU
rnacentral:RNase_P_RNA from 1 species